GACGAACCGAGCGAACGUUAUUCGGAAUCACUGGGCUUAAAGGGCGCGUAGGCGGGCCGCCAAGUCAGGGGUGAAAGCCCCCAGCUCAACUGGGGAAGUGCCUUUGAUACUGGCGGUCUCGAGGGGGAUAGGGGCGUGCGGAACUUCCGGUGGAGCGGUGGAAUGCGUAGAUAUCGGAAGGAACACCGGUGGCGAAAGCGGCGCGCUGGAUCCCUUCUGACGCUGAGGCGCGAAAGCCAGGGGAGCGAACGGG
rnacentral:rRNA from 1 species